rnacentral:rRNA from 1 species
UGGGGAAUUUUGGACAAUGGGGGCAACCCUGAUCCAGCCAUGCCGCGUGCGGGAAGAAGGCCUUCGGGUUGUAAACCGCUUUUGGUCGGGAAGAAAAGGCGCAGGCUAAUACUCUGCGUUCUGGACGGUACCGGCAGAAUAAGCACCGGCUAACUACGUGCCAGCAGCCGCGGUAAUACGUAGGGUGCGAGCGUUAAUCGGAAUUACUGGGCGUAAAGCGUGCGCAGGCGGUUCGUUGUGUCCGAUGUGAAAGCCCCGAGCUCAACUUGGGAAUGGCAUUGGAAACUGGCGGGCUGGAGUGCGGCAGAGGGGGGUGGAAUUCCACGUGUAGCAGUGAAAUGCGUAGAGAUGUGGAGGAACACCGAUGGCGAAGGCAGCCCCCUGGGCCGACACUGACGCUCAGGCACGAAAGCGUGGGGAGCAAAC